UACGGAGGGUGCAAACGUUGCUCGGAAUCAUUGGGCGUAAAGCGCACGUAGGCGGUUCGGCAAGUCGCGUGUGAAAGCCCUCGGCUCAACCGAGGAAGUGCAUGCGAAACUACCGGACUUGAGUACUGGAGAGGACGACGGAAUUCCCGGUGUAGAGGUGAAAUUCGUAGAUAUCGGGAGGAACACCAGCGGCGAAGGCGGUCGUCUGGACAGAUACUGACGCUGAGGUGCGAAAGCGUGGGGAGCAAACAGG
rnacentral:rRNA from 1 species